rnacentral:rRNA from 1 species
AACACGUGGGUAACCUGCCCAUAAGACUGGGAUAACUCCGGGAAACCGGGGCUAAUACCGGAUAACAUUUUGAACCGCAUGGUUCGAAAUUGAAAGGCGGCUUCGGCUGUCACUUAUGGAUGGACCCGCGUCGCAUUAGCUAGUUGGUGAGGUAACGGCUCACCAAGGCAACGAUGCGUAGCCGACCUGAGAGGGUGAUCGGCCACACUGGGACUGAGACACGGCCCAGACUCCUACGGGAGGCAGCAGUAGGGAAUCUUCCGCAAUGGACGAAAGUCUGACGGAGCAACGCCGCGUGAGUGAUGAAGGCUUUCGGGUCGUAAAACUCUGUUGUUAGGGAAGAACAAGUGCUAGUUGAAUAAGCUGGCACCUUGACGGUACCUAACCAGAAAGCCACGGCUAACUACGUGCCAGCAGCCGCGGUAAUACGUAGGUGGCAAGCGUUAUCCGGAAUUAUUGGGCGUAAAGCGCGCGCAGGUGGUUUCUUAAGUCUGAUGUGAAAGCCCACGGCUCAACCGUGGAGGGUCAUUGGAAACUGGGAGACUUGAGUGCAGAAGAGGAAAAGUGGAAUUCCAUGUGUAGCGGUGAAAUGCGUAGAGAUAUGGAGGAACACCCAGUGGCGAAGGCGACUUUCUGGUCUGUAACUGACACUGAGG